UGCAUGUUAUUUCUUUGGAAAUAUACUAUAUGUCGCUGCUCGGGAUCGACAGAGAUAGAAGAUGUCCCUGGGAGGGGGGUUUUCCUGUUUCCGCCUGUCAGACGUCGAGAUCAGAGACGCCUACCUGCCAUAGUGUGUUUAUACUGUCUGAUCGUACUUGUUCAAUUUAAUUGCGUGAUAAUAUUUAGUGAAAAGCGUGCGAAGCCACGCCGAGCAGCGGCAUAUUACAUGGUUUAAGUGGAAAUUCACCUUAAAUUUAUAUUCUGAAGAACGUCAAAAUGGCUUGGCGUUUCAAAGCAUCUAAAUAUAAGAAUGCAGCACCGAUUGUACCUAAACCAGAAGCAUGUAUUCGGGACAUAUCAGUUGGAUCUUAUCAAACCUAUGGCAACAACAUAGCGGCAUCAGCUGCUUUCAUGGCAUUUAAUGUUGAUCAUAAUGGAUCUAGUCUUGCUGUAUUACCAUUAGAAGAUUGUGGUAGAAAAAGCAAAACUAUGCCUUUAUUACAUGCUCAUGCGGAUACAGUAACAGACAUGGAUUUUUCUCCAUUUCACGAUGGUUUAUUAGCUACUGGAUCUCAAGACUGCCUUGUGAAGCUGUGGCAUAUUCCAGAAACUGGUUUAGAAGAAUCUUUGUGCAAUCCUGAAUGUACAUUCUCGCACCGUCAGAGAAGAGUAGAAGCAGUGUGUUGGCAUCCUGCAGCUGAACACCUUCUCACAACAGUAUCUUACACAAACUUAUCUCUGUGGGAUGUGAUUUCACAGCAAGAACUAUUUUCCAAUAAUGAACACACAGAGGUCAUUCAGUCUCUAAGUUGGAAACAAGAUGGUGUACUCUUGGCAACAUCGUGCAAAGAUAAACAAGUGAGGAUUAUAGAUCCUCGUGCCAAUACUUGUAUCGUUAAUUCUUGCUCAAGUCAUCAAAGUAUUAAAGAUUCCAGAAUUGUUUGGCUAAACAAUAGUGAAAGGAUAUUGACUACAGGUUUUGAUGCAGCAAGGCUUAGGCAGGUUUAUAUAAGGGAUUUAAGACACUUGAGUGAACCAGUCAAAACAUUAGAAUUGGAUUGCAGUACCGGAAUUUUAAUGCCUCUUUUCGAUCCUGACACAAACAUGCUUUUCCUUGCUGGAAAAGGAGACACUACUAUUAUGUAUAUGGAAGUUAUGGAUAAGGACCCAUUCCUGGUUGAAGGAAUUCGCCAUAGUGGAGAACAAACUAAAGGUGUAUGUUUAGUGCCAAAGCGAGCAUUAAAUGUUAUGCAAGCAGAAGUUAAUAGACUAUUACAGCUUACAUCUAACAUGGUGAUCCCUAUCAUGUAUCAGGUUCCAAGAAAAACGUAUAGAGAUUUCCACGCAGAUAUAUAUCCCGAUACAACGGGUUGUAUUGCUCAAAACAAUGCAUCAGCUUGGAUAAAAGGUCAUAAUAUGCCAGUUCCAAAAAUAUCACUUGAUCCCGCUAAAAGAAAUAAGGGAGAAGAGUCUAUUAUUGUACACAAGGGAAACUUAACCGCUCUCAAAGAGAAUGAGCCAGAAAUAAAAGUGGAACAACCGCAGAAGCAACAAUCGAAGCCCAUGUCUAUUACUAUGCCUAAGGGUUAUGUAAAAGGCCAAGGACUAAACGAGAAGGAAACGUCGCCUGAAAACGAAGUGGAGAACCUAGAAGAAUCGAAGAAAGCGGACAUCGAAGAGGAUAAAACCAAAGUUCAAAACGGAGGACAAACUAUUCCACCAAAACCUUUACCAAGAACAUCAAGAACCAAUAGCAUUUCUGAGGAUGAACCGAAACCAGUUGCACGGCCACGUUCUUCGCCGAAUCCGGGCUCAGUAGUUACAUCCGUGAAUCCUAAUGCGAUUGGGGGAUAUAAGCCUCGACUUGGACCAAAGCCGUUCCAAGCAAAGUCGGGCAGUCAAGAGUUCUCGUUUGACAAAAUCUUCUCAGUUCCUAUCGCACCGAACAACGACACGAAUGGUUAUCAGAACGACAUAAACAACCAGAUAGAAAAUAACGUGGAACCCGAAAAGUCACCAUCGUUCAACAACGAGCGCAUCAAGGAAACGGAGAAUGGGAAAAGUGAUUCCAGUUCUUUGGAGGAGGACGCGAAUUCCAGUGACUCGGGUUAUAAGCCAAAAACGCCGAGCACCGCGGAAAGACGUAAAGUAUUCGAGAUCAAAGUAAAGGACGAGUCACCUGAGAACGAAGAGCUAGGAGGAAAUUUCGAGCGCGGCAAUGCCAAUAGGAACUCCAUCGCCGAGAGACGGCGAUUGUACGAGAGUCGUUCCGUCUCUGUGACCGAUGGUAAUUUAGCGGAGAAAGCAAUGGGCUCGCCUACGAUGUUGAGACGCAGAGACUCCUUUAAGACGAAGACCGAAGUGAUCAAAGAAGAUGAAGUAAAGAAAGUCAUUCCUAUGCUACGUCAGCAGAGCAUGGAUCCAAGACUGGAGAAAAUAGACAACGCGACGCCGACUGCUAAAAGAACGUCGACUGUAUUCGGUAGAGUAUCGAAGUUCAGACAUUUGAAGGGAACACCUGGCCACAAGUCUACACAUAUAGAAAACAUAAGGAACAUUAGUAGACAGAUAUCUGGAGAGUGCGAUGGCUUCCACGCUAAUCCCGACCGCGUCGCUGUACCGUUAAGCGGUCCUGGGGGAAAGAUAGCAGUUUUGGAGUUAAAGAAAACCGGGAGGCUGCCCGAUGGCGUGAUGCCAGCACUAGUGCAUGGCACCACUGUAAUGGAUUUCCAGUGGAAUCCAUUCGAUAAUCAACGACUCGCAGUUGCUUGUGACGAUGGAAUGAUUCGACUGUGGGAGAUCCCUGAAUCUGGCCUAUCGGAGCCAACAAAUGAACCAAAGCACAUGAUAAAAGCUCACACCGAUAAAAUAUAUUUAAUUAAAUUUCAUCCGCUGGCAUUGGACGUUCUAGCAUCAGCGUCUUACGACAUGACCGUGAAAAUUUGGGACUUGUCCUCUCUUCCCUCCAACGACACGGCAGUUGCAAAGAUAACAUUGACUGGCCAUACCGAUCAGAUUUUCAGUCUAGCGUGGUCACCGUGCGGACAGUACCUGGCCAGCGCGUGCAAAGAUGGGAAAUUGCGAACUUAUAAGCCCAGAUCUGGCGAUACACCGGUGAAGACUGGGAAAGGACCAGUUGGUACAAGAGGUGCGCGAGUAGUGUGGGCACUGAAGGGACAAUUUUUGGUUGUGAUGGGUUUCGACAAAGUAUCCGAGAGACAGAUUUAUGUGUUUAAAGCAGACAAUCUUAACAAUCCAUUAACCACGGUUGGGCUGGAUGUGUCGCCUGCUAUUUUAAUGCCAUACUACGAUGAAGAUAGCUCAACCCUUUUCUUAACAGGACGCGGUGAUUCUACGAUAUAUGCCUACGAAGUAACAGAAGAAGCUCCCUACUGCUGUCCUCUCAGUCAUCAUCGAUGUAGUAGUUUACAUCAAGGAUUGUCCUUUCUUCCUAAAAAUAAGUGCGAUGUUGCUAGCGUGGAGUUCGCAUCUGCUUUGAGACUAACAAACAACACGAUAGAACCUUUAAGCUUCACUGUACCCCGCAUAAAGAGUGAACUUUUCCAAGACGAUCUGUUCCCGCCCACGAAAGUUACAUGGAAACCAACUAUGACUGCUAGCGAGUGGUUUAAUGGCGCUAACAAACAAGCACAUAGAAUAAGUCUAAAGCCACCAGGCAUGGAUAAUUUAACUGAAAAUCAAGGGCAAGGAGUAGUCACUGCACCAGUUGCCGCAAAACAUUCAACGUCCACCUUCUCUGUAUCUGCACAACCUUUUACCAGACUCGGAUGGACUCCUGAUGUGAAAGCUAAACAGGAGGAGAUGCAAAAAACCAUGAGCCAGUUUGUGGGAGAUGUAAUACAAUGCUCACUGGAACAGGAUCAUAUGGAAGGUGUAGAAGAGCAUGAAUGGGAUGAGUGAAGAUGGGGCAGUCGUAGGUCAUUUAAAUAAAAGCGGUAAGAUAAAAUGAAUCUAUAUGUAGCUGGACAAGCCGUAAUUUAUUUUUAAGUUAAAAGCCACGACAUAAGCAGAAAUACUUUGAUAUUAAUGUGCGCGUGGUAAGAGAUAUUUAUAGUUGGAAUUGACAUUUCCAAAAAUUUAUCUGUCUGAAAAGAACUAACGGUAUGUGUGAACGAUUUUUUGAAUUGUGGUAAUUUCUUAUCAUAGAUACAAUUACCCAGAUAUUAUUGUAUCAAAUUAAUUUAAGAAAAAAGGGACUGGAUAUUAAAAGAAAUUGAAUUUUACGAAUAAAAUUUUCUUAACAUUUCUCGAAAUUUGGAGAUGUCUUUGUAAAAAGAAAGAUAACAUUGCAGUCUUUAUUACGAGUAACUUUUCUCAGCUGCCAUCUUAUGAUUCUCUUGAUAUUAAGAAUAAUUAUAUAGGACAACUAUCUGUAGGAGCUGUACUAGAGAUGUAGAAUAACAAAUAUUCGCAAAAACUAUCAGAAUUCGACAAUAGUUUUUAUUAUAUACUUAAGGGGUGUCAUGGUUUUUAAAGUGACUAAUCUUGAGAUCUGUAGUGCAGCAUCAAAAAUGAUUAAAUGGAGACGAAUGUAUUAAAUAAUUUGAUUUUUUGUUAUGGAAUGUUUCUCAAUUUGUCGUAUGACUGCGAUCGAAACGUUAAAAUGUGAAUUCCGUGUUUACCAAAGGGCAGGGAAUGACAGUGGUUUAAAUGGAACGGUUUAGAUUCGAAGAUGAAUAUUUUUUCUAUCUAAUGUACCAUAAACUUUAGUAAACUUUAGUAUUUCGCUAUCUAUAUGAGAAUAAUUUCCCAUUUCCAUGGUAUGUAUUGAUUAUAAAAAAAUUUUAUAUAAAUACAGUCUACUCGUACUUAUUUAGAUAGAUCAUUCAUUAAUAUGAUAAACUUACUCUAAUUAUCUGUAAUUACAGUGUCUCGUAACUGUUAAGAAUACGCUCGUGUUCCUACUUGUAUGAUUGACAUCCAUUUUGCAUGAAUGUUCCCUUCGCUUUGGUAAGCAACUUUGUAACGUGUUUGAAUCACGCACACACUUUAUACCUUUAUAUAUUCCGUCAUCAUAGUGCAGUCUUCAUCAUUUUAGUAUAAAAUUUUGACCCAAUGGUGCUAUGCCCCUUUAACGAGUCCUAGUACGUAAUUGCCAAUGAAAGUAAAAUCAUAUAUAUUUUUCGUGAUAAAAGAACACAAUUAGUGAUGAGACUGAGACGCACGUCCUGCAUUCAUUAUUAUUGCAUUUAUAUUUAAGAUUGAUUCUUUUUUUGGGAAGAAUUAUAUUUCAGACAUAUGACUUAUGUCUAUACAUAUCAAUUAUACCAUGUACCAGUUUAGUUGUAACUCAGAACCCAUCAAACUAACAUAUAUUGGUUGAUUACAAUCGACGAUUAGUUCAAACGUUAACAUGUUUAAUAACGAUAUUAAAACAUAACAAAUCUGAGUUUCAAUGACUAGUUAUAAAAUAAUUGAAUCCUUGAAAAUUAUGUGAUUGUAGUAUGAGUUUUGAUAUUCAGCUCAGACGAAUUAUGAGUCUCAUCGCUAACUAGAUGCCUUUUUAUUUACGCAAUUUAUUCAACAAAGUCUAAAGUAACAUUCCCUUUUUACAUUCUGUCAUAUUUGUGGGCACAGUAAGUUACAGUAAGUCACAGUAAUAGGAAGGAAAUAUCGAAGAAUUUUAUUAGUUUAGAGAUACGUAUUGAAUCAACACGAAAUUUCCUAUACAGCGAGUAGAACACCUCUAAGUGCUGCAUUCAAAAAGUUGUGCAUAUUAUCUUGUAUACUGAUCACAAUUUUUUACCAUGUUUUAUACGCAUCAUAAAUAGAAAGAGGAACAAAGUGAAACUUUGUUAUGAAAAAGAAAAAAAAAUAGCUGCCAUUCACGUCAUCUGUCUUAUCAUACAAAUUUAUAUCUGUAAUUAUUCGCCAUUUACUAUAGAACUGAGAAACAUCAUUGUUCCAUGUUUUAGUAACCAUGCCUUUUCUUUUUUAUAAUUACAUUAUUUUCCGCAGCUUCGUAAAUGUCUGUUUGAUUGAAAACUAGACACAUAUAGUAUUACUUCAGAAUAAUAUCUUGAAAAGUAAUCACAAGUUGCAUAUGAUGUUCGAGUCUCUUUUACUGCUUCUUGAAGUGAACAAGGAAGCAAUGGUAAACAUAAAGAGAAGGGGGAUAAGAGAAAAUUGUUUUCAACUUAUGGUACUUCUCAAUAAGAUUAUGACACUUUACACUGUAAGUUUUCUUUUUAUUGCAACAGUAGAUUUAUAGUCAUUCCCGAUAUUUGUAUGCGAUCCUUUAUAGCACACAGUUUCAAAAUCUCGGUGAAAUUAAUUUGAAUUGCAACAACAAGUUUCUUGGUGUUUAAUAUUGCGCUAUGACUGAUCGCUAGUAAGUUUAUCAUGUAAUAACAUACCUUUGUAUCGACCUUAUACCUCUUACAUGUAUUUCAUCUAUAAAAUCUUUUUAUCAAAGAUAUAUACUUGUAUAUGUAGUAUACUUGUAUUAUUUCAUCCUCUUUUCUUUUAUAUUUACAAAUCGGUAUAAAUUUUUAUAUAGUUACAUAGAAACCAACAUAUAUUAUCCAUACAAUUGUCUAAUGAAACUUCAGGAAUGUUUUUAUUGAUAUUUGUCAAUUGGCAAAUAACGUGUUGAAUAUGACAAAGUAAUUGUAUUAUGAAUAGAUUAAGAGAAACUAUAGAUUUUAAAAAAUAAUUUAUAGACGAAUGCACAGUUUUAGAAAGAAAUGUAUUUUAUUUCAUAAGAACUUCUAAUCUAUUCUAAAUCAUCUGCCGUAUCCAACACGAUCUCUCGGAAUUAAUCUCAAUUCGGAUCCAUGUUUGAGAAAAACAUUUCCUGAAAUUAAAUUAAUUAGACCAUUAGUUUUUUCAGUUUUUCACGUCAUAAUAUUUUGUAUGCUCACCUGCUGUUUGCUGUGGAUUGAUACCUAUUCCAUCAUCUGUAAUUAUAGCAGAUGUGGAUGGUGACACUUUAAAUUCUUCAGCAGCAAAUUUUAAUACAGCAGUGAAAGGUGUAUUAUUUGGCACGCUAAGUCUGUAAUUGCAAAUGUAUAGUGUUAUUAUAUAUCACUUUCCCUAAGUUACAGAACUUAAAGUCAUUAUCAUUUAAACAUGCAGAAGUAGAUUUUUUUUAUAUCUUUUUAAUUUUAACAAUUUUAAAUAUACGAGGAGUAUGCUAUUACCAUCCAAUAUCUUUCUCAACCCUAUGCCAUAUUGUACCAUUAGGGUGUGUUUUAACUAAUUGCACUCUGUUAUAUAUUAUUUCUGAGACUCCACUAGGGCCAUUUAAUAACCUUUCAACUACUUUGUGAAGAUGUUCAUAUUCAAAAUCACAAUUUGAUGUCCAAUGAUCAUCAACUUGUAUCAUAUGACGUGCAAAGUAAAAUAUAGCAUCAAGAAAAUUGAUAUAAAGUUCCAAAUUAUUUUCCAUUAAUACCUGAAGCGAUUUCUUAUCUACAUUAGCAAGAGCUAAGCAAACCUUCACAUCAUUUUUCACAAGUUUGUUAGACAACUGUUGAAUUAUCGACUGCUUAAUUUUGCUGUUACACGAAUUGACAGCAACCUGAAUCAAUUCUAUAUAGAAACCAUCAUCGGACAUUUUUCGAAUACAUUCUGUAACUUCACAAUGAUUACCAUUACUAAGUAAUAAUUCCCAAGAUAAGAUCAAAGCUUCAUUCUUCAUGUCAAAGGUUGACACACCUAGCUUUUGUAACGAGUCUAUCACCAUGUUAGUACAAAUUCCAUUAGUUACUGUUCGUUUAAGAAAAUCAUUUAGUCUGUCAUGACCACAAUAUUGAGUAUAUAAUUUAAAAAGUUCAUCUACAAUGUCCGUUGAAACAUCUACAUCUUUUAGACAGACUUCUAACAGUUUAUCACAGGCAUUUUUAAAGUCUGAGCAUUUAUGUAAAUUUAAUCUAUUCUUUUCUAUCCAAUAAUUAUGUAGAUGACUCUCAAGAACACUUUCCUUGCCAAUUUCACAUGCUUUAGCAAUUGUGGAUUCGAUAAAUAAAGCACAUUGAAAUGUCUUCAUAACAUUAUCAUUCUUUAGAUCUUUUCUUAGAGCAGAAUUCUCCAAGAGUGCAAGGAAAACGUCAAACAUUUUCAAUAUCUCAAGGAUAUCUAAUUCUGACAUGAUAAUAUAAAAUAUACAUUGAUCCACUUAAUCGGUAACAAAUUAUUAAGUACACAGGCAAGUGAACUUACACUUUAAAUGGUAAUUUUGGAUCAGAAGUAAGAGUUAUUUUAAAAGUAACUUUGGACCUGUAACAAAUCAAUAUGUUUAUCAGCAACUAUCGAUGAGCAUAACUAAGGAAACUUAUAAAUAAUAUCCAAACAUAUGUUUAUUAAAAUGGGUGUAUAACUUAAAUUUAUGUGUUAUUUCGUAUAAUAUGUAAUUGUUUUCUAUUAUUUUUGAAUAGCCUUUAUCGCGUAAAAUACGUACGCCAUACUUUGAUUAUAAUUAUUUCCUUAAAAAGUAAUUGUCAGUUUGUAAUUGAAAAAUGUCACUCCAAACAGAAAUAACCUCAGUUGUGUCGGACACUUGGCCUUUCCAAGUCGUACCUUGACUACUUAGCCAAAACUAUAGAAUGCUCUCUUAUGGGGUAAUACUCUAUGAUCAGUUCACGGUAUUUAAUAUGCUCAAUAAACGUAUCAAAUAAUACAGAACUGCGUCAGUUAUGAUUAAAUAUUUUCCAGUACGUUGAUGAAUUACUCAUUGCAUUAUUCAGAGCCCAUAUUGUUAAUUAUUAAUUAUCAAUUGGAGUAUUUACAAUGGAUAUUUAACAUUUAAAACGCGAUGCAGUGGCUAAAAAAAUGUAUAACACCAUCUACAGUAAACAACUGAAGCUACUUACAAAUUAGUACUUCCUGUUCGAUCCUAGAUGGAGCAAGUAGCGCUCGAAUUGUCUAGAAGUUUGAACGUUUCGCUACCGAUGGCGCUACUAGUCCGAAAAGUGAAUUUUCUGGAGUAAAUGAUUUUUGCCAUUAAGUACUUGGACCAGAAUUAUCCGUGCUUAUACUUCUUAUCUCAAGCACUGAAUGCGAACGAUCGUCUCAAUGUUCAUCAGACUUUUUUCAUACGGUGCAUCAUUAAGAUUAAAGUUUUAACUUACGAUCUUAGUGUUUUAAGAUGCUGCUAUUAAUUGGAA